rnacentral:rRNA from 1 species
AUUGAACGCUGGCGGAAUGCUUUACACAUGCAAGUCGAACGGCAGCACGGACUUCGGUCUGGUGGCGAGUGGCGAACGGGUGAGUAACAUAUCGGAACGUAUCCAAUAAUGGGGGAUAACUAAUCGAAAGGUUGGCUAAUACCGCAUACGCCCUACGGGGGAAAGCUAGGGAUCUUCGGACCUGGCGUUAAUGGAGCGGCCGAUAUCUGAUUAGCUAGUUGGUGGGGUAAAGGCCCACCAAGGCGACGAUCAGUAGCUGGUCUGAGAGGACGACCAGCCACACUGGAACUGAGACACGGUCCAGACUCCUACGGGAGGCAGCAGUGGGGAAUUUUGGACAAUGGGCGCAAGCCUGAUCCAGCCAUUCCGCGUGAGUGAAGAAGGCCUUCGGGUUGUAAAGCUCUUUCGCAAGGGAAGAAAACUUAUCCUCUAACAUAGGAUGAGGUUGACGGUACCUUGAUAAGAAGCACCGGCUAACUACGUGCCAGCAGCCGCGGUAAUACGUAGGGUGCGAGCGUUAAUCGGAAUUACUGGGCGUAAAGCGUGUGCAGGCUGUUUUGUAAGUCAGAUGUGAAAUCCCUGAGCUCAACUUAGGAACUGCGUUUGAAACUACAAGACUAGAAUAUGUCAGAGGGGGGUAGAAUUCCACGUGUAGCAGUGAAAUGCGUAGAGAUGUGGAGGAAUACCAAUGGCGAAGGCAGCCCCCUGGGAUAAUAUUGACGCUCAUGCACGAAAGCGUGGGGAGCAAACAGGAUUAGAUACCCUGGUAGUCCACGCCCUAAACGAUGUCUACUAGUUGUUGGUGGAGUAAAAUCCAUGAGUAACGCAGCUAACGCGUGAAGUAGACCGCCUGGGGAGUACGGUCGCAAGAUUA